rnacentral:misc_RNA from 1 species
UCCGGUUUGUCACCGGCAGUCCCCCAUGAGUCCCCGGCAUUACCCGCUGGCAACAUGGGGCGGGGGUUGCGCUCGUUGCGGGACUUAACCCAACACCUCACGGCACGAGCUGACGACAGCCAUGCACCACCUGUGAAGGUGCCCCGAAGGGAGACCGUGUUUCCACGGCUGUCACCAACAUGUCAAGCCCAGGUAAGGUUCUUCGCGUUGCGUCGAAUUGAACCACAUGCUCCGCUGCUUGUGCGUGCCCCCGUCAAUUCCUUUGAGUUUCAGCCUUGCGGCCGUACUCCCCAGGCGGGGCACUUAAUGCGUUAGCUGCGGCACCCAGGGGGUCAAUACCCCCAACACCUAGCAUCCAUCGUUUACGGCGUGGACUAC